rnacentral:rRNA from 1 species
GACGAACGCUGGCGGCGUGCUUAACACAUGCAAGUCGAACGGAAAGGCCCUGCUUUGGUUGGGUGCUCGAGUGGCGAACGGGUGAGUAACACGUGGGUGACCUGCCCUUGACUUUGGGAUAACUUCGGGAAACUGGGGCUAAUACCGGAUAGGAGCUCCUGCUGCAUGGUGGGGGUGGGAGAGUUUCGGCGGUUGGGGAUGGACUCGCGGCUUAUCAGCGUGUUGGUGGGGUAGUGGCUUACCAAGGCUUUGACGGGUAGCCGGCCUGAGAGGGUGACCGGCCACAUUGGGACUGAGAUACGGCCCUGACUCCUACGGGAGGCAGCAGUGGGGAAUAUUGCACAAUGGGCGGAAGCCUGAUGCAGCAACGCCGCGUGCGGGAUGACGGCCUUCGGGUUGUAAACCGCUUUCGCCUGUGACGAAGCGUGAGUGACGGUAAUGGGUAAAGAAGCACCCGCCAACUAACUG